rnacentral:rRNA from 1 species
UACGGAGGGUGCAAGCGUUAAUCGGAAUUCCUGGGCGUAAAGGGCGCGUAGGCGGUCAGCACAAGUCAGUUGUGAAAUCUCCGGGCUUAACUCGGAAAGGUCAACUGAUACUGUGCGACUAGAGUGCGGAAGGGGCAACUGGAAUUCUCGGUGUAGCGGUGAAAUGCGUAGAUAUCGAGAGGAACACCUGCGGCGAAGGCGGGUUGCUGGGCCGACACUGACGCUGAUGCGCGAAAGCCAGGGGAGCGAACGGG